rnacentral:lncRNA from 1 species
CUGAACACUGACUCUACUAAGAGUACAAGAAUGGAUAUUCUUUUGAGAUCUCUUGCCCUUAAACCUCUACCUUCGUAAACUUUUCCCUCCUCCCCGCUUUUGUUAUUUUAUCUUUUUGAGUCAGUUUCUUUUGUUGUUUUUGUGGCUGACUAGAUUAGUUCCUUAUGUUUUUUUUGAAUGCCAAUGUAUGAUAUCUUCUGGA